UUUAAAUUUAGUAGCACAUAUACCAGUAAGAAAUAUAGGAUCAGUAGCUGGUAAUUUGAUGCUCAAACAUAGAGAACUGACGUUUUCAUCGGAUGUAUUUUUGUUACUUGAAACGAUAGGUGCAACUCUAACAAUUGUUUCUGCUAUAUCAAUAGAUGAAGUAACACCAGAGACUUUUCUAAAAAUGGAUAUGACUGGUAGAAUAAUCACACAGAUCAAAAUACCUCCACUGUCUCACAAUUAUGAGUUUGUUUCUUUUAAGGUUAUGCCUCGAUCUCAAAAUGCUCAUGCUCAAGUCAACGCAGCUUUUCUUUACGAACUAGAAGUGG